UACGUAGGGAGCAAGCGUUGUCCGGAAUCAUUGGGCGUAAAGAGCGUGUAGGCGGUCCUGUAAGUCCGCUGUGAAAGUCAAGGGCUCAACCCUUGAAUGCCGGUGGAUACUGCAGGACUAGAGUCCGGAAGAGGCGAGUGGAAUUCCUGGUGUAGCGGUGAAAUGCGCAGAUAUCAGGAGGAACACCGAUGGCGAAGGCAGCUCGCUGGGACGGUACUGACGCUGAGACGCGAAAGCGUGGGGAGCAAACAGG
rnacentral:rRNA from 1 species